rnacentral:lncRNA from 13 species
AUGAAUUUACCAGCCAAAUUGCCAGGGUUAGAGCUUCCAAGUCUUUUCAAUUCAUUCUAUUUCUAUGCUCCCAAAACUUCUCUCAAUCUUUACCGCAGUGAACUUUAUUGCCACCAAAAUGGAGAAGAAUGUGACUUUGACUUUGUUCUGCUAGUCAGCAGUACACCUCUCCUCAAGGGUGUUAUUUGUGUGUAUUACAUUAUAAAGCAGGUUAUGAUAGACCAGAGAACAAAUCAAUUAAAAGACCAAUCAAUCAAUAGUCUCGUAGGAAAAUGCCACAUUUAUAACCGGACUUGGUCUGCUGUACAUAGAACACCACAGUUAAAAGGUCGACUCUGCAAUAUGACAUCAGCAUACACGGUGGGGUGACUUCCUGCUACUACAUAAGCUGAAUCACUCCCUUCAUUUGAGUGUUCACACAUGCCUCUGCCAUACUGUAUGCACAAGUGUCCCAAAGCUGAGGGAGUGAAAAUUAAUCAAGGGGGUAGGGGCUAAUUAGACCCUCGGAGAGCCACGUUGGCCAAGCCAGCAAGGCUGCAGUGCGAAGUGCUAUCCCGACACACACCAUGAUAUGUUUGCAAUUUGAGCAGCGUGCCCAAUUAUAAGUCCCUUUGCAGUUGUUUGUUUGCCUGAUUUGACACAUGUAACAGAUGAAAAACCUCACAAAUGAAACAUUGAACUGUUACUGAGGUUUAUACAUCUUUUAAAACAACAGGGGGAUUUGUUCAUUUAAAAUGUCAUGCUCAUUUUAUUAUUUAAAAUGUGGACCAUGAAUUACGUCGGUCAAGCCACGAGCGUGUCCCGAAGUCGAUGGGUUCAGGGAUCCCUCGCCAUUCUCUGGACGUCACCCUCGCCACUCUUUUGAAAGCAACAUGUGACAAACGGAGGGUCCUCCAAGCGAGUUGGCUGGGGUGAGGGUUUGGGAUCCACCGUUACACUUGAUGGUGGUGUCAUAUUGCAGAGUGUAUCUUUACAAAAACCCUAGUCUCUCUCUUCGUCAUUGGAACAUACCACAGUUUACAAAAACAGUUCAUACAUCAUCAAAACAAAUCCACCCCAAUCAACUUAUUGAUCUGAAACACACAAACCCCAAUAAGCUUGUUUAUUGAUGAGAUCAGUGAGAAAAUAUUGCUUCUAAUAGGAUAACAUCAAUCAAUACUAUUCAGACAUUUACGACAUUCAUCAUUUUGGGGGGGGGGGGGGGUUUUUAAAAUUUCCAAAUUGAUGUUUCAAUCGU